rnacentral:rRNA from 1 species
CCCUUAGAUGUUCUGGGCCGCACGCGCGCUACACUGAUGCAUGCAACGAGCUCUACCCUUGACCGAAAGGCCCGGGUAAACUUGUGAAACUUCAUCGUGAUGGGGAUAGAUUAUUGCAAUUAUUAAUCUUCAACGAGGAAUUCCUAGUAAGCGCGAGUCAUCAGCUCGCGUUGAUUACGUCCCUGCCCUUUGUACACACCGCCCGUCGCUCCUACCGAUUGAAUGGUCCGGUGAAGCCUCCGGAUUGGCGCGCACCUCGGUGCCGCCGAGAAGUUGGCUAAACCUUACCAUUUAGAGGAAGGUGAAGUCGUAACA